UACGUAGGGUGCAAGCGUUGUCCGGAAUUAUUGGGCGUAAAGAGCUCGUAGGCGGCUUGUCGCGUCGGCUGUGAAAACUCGGGGCUCAACCCCGAGCCUGCAGUCGAUACGGGCGGGCUAGAGUCCGGCAGGGGAGACUGGAAUUCCUGGUGUAGCGGUGAAAUGCGCAGAUAUCAGGAGGAACACCAAUGGCGAAGGCAGCACUCUGGGCCGUAACUGACGCUGAGACGCGAAAGCGUGGGGAGCAAACAGG
rnacentral:rRNA from 1 species